rnacentral:rRNA from 1 species
CGGGGUUGUAAACCUUUUUUCAAGCAGGGAAGGAAGCGAAAAGUGACCGGUACCUGCAGGAAGAAGCGCCGGGCUAACUUACGUGCCAGCAGCCGCGGGUAAUACGUAGGGCGCAAGCGUUGUCCGGAAUUAUUGGGCGUAAAGAGCUCGUAGGCGGCUUGUCACGUCGGGUGUGAAAGACCGGGGCUUAACCCCGGUUCUGCAUUCGAUACGGGCUAGCUAGAGUGUGGUAGGGGAGAUCGGAAUUCCUGGUGUAGCGGUGAAAUGCGCAGAUAUCAGGAGGAACACCGGUGGCGAAGGCGGAUCUCUGGGCCAUUACUGACGCUGAGGAGCGAAAGCGUGGGGAGCGAACAGGAUUAGAUACCCUGGUAGUCCACGCCGUAAACGGUGGGAACUAGGUGUUGGCGACAUUCCACGUCGUCGGUGCCGCAGCUAACGCAUUAAGUUCCCCGCCUGGGGAGUACGGCCGCAAGGCUAAAACUCAAAGGAAUUGACGGGGGCCCGCACAAGCAGCGGAGCAUGUGGCUUAAUUCGACGCAACGCGAAGAACCUUACCAAGGCUUGACAUACACCGGAAACGGCCAGAGAUGGUCGCCCCCUUGUGGUCGGUGUACAGGUGGUGCAUGGCUGUCGUCAGCUCGUGUCGUGAGAUGUUGGGUUAAGUCCCGCAACGAGCGCAACCCUUGUUCUGUGUUGCCAGCAUGCCCUUCGGGGUGAUGGGGACUCACAGGAGACCGCCGGGGUCAACUCGGAGGAAGGUGGGGACGACGUCAAGUCAUCAUGCCCCUUAUGUCUUGGGCUGCACACGUGCUACAAUGGCCGAUACAAUGAGCUGCGAUACCGCAAGGUGGAGCGAAUCUCAAAAAGUCGGUCUCAGUUCGGAUUGGGGUCUGCAACUCGACCCCAUGAAGUUGGAGUUGCUAGUAAUCGCAGAUCAGCAU